GUUUCAAGAAACUCUCUGUGUUGCUGCUUCUUUCGCACUCCUCGGGGAUCUUGUUUCCAGAGGAUUUUCCGGACUAGUUUUUCUUUUCUCUCUCUUUCUGACAAUCUGUGCUCUAAUUCUUCCAAUUUACUCGAUUCCGAAUGUCAUCUACACUUCAUAAGAGUCAAUUUUCUCCUUCCAUACCUUGUUCUCUUGUUUGACGAUAUCUCCUCUGCAAUCCACCUGAUUCUGGUGAAGAUUUUCAGGUUGGAGGUGAAGAAACAGAGGAAUUAAACCAAAAUUUCAUCUCGGAAAUGGACAAUUUCAUCGGAAAAAGAAAACCCACUAUCGGUCUUUCACUCUUUACCGCUUUGUCUGGUUCAUUCUCUUCUGAUAAAACGAAAUCCCCUCGCGAUUUCGAAAAGGGUGUUGUUGGGUUGGGUAUAGUGGCUGCCAUGACUGAUUCUGACAAAAUUCAUGAACCUUUUAUGUCUUCGAAAGCGGUUUCUCCCAGGUCUUGCUCGAUUCCUAUUGUUUCUUCUGCUAAACCAGCGGCUAAUUUCAGAGGUGGGUUUAACCUAGAAAAAGAACUAUUACCUGAGGUCCUUGAUGAACUUUCCGAAAGUUACACCUGCGUAACUUCACAUUUUGGUAAUCGUUUGUUUGAAAAGCGUGUUUACUUUAAUGGUGAGCUCGAAUUGGUCGAUAGCCGCUCUUCAAAUGUAGUGAGAUCUGGGGUUUUUUCCACUUCCCCCAUGAGUUUUGGUGUAGCGGAGAGAGGGUUUUGUGCUGCUGAAUUUUUGAGCUCUUGCUAUCUCUGCGGCAAGCAUCUUCAUGGGCUUGACAUCUUCAUGUACAGAGGGGAAAAGGCAUUUUGCAGCGUUGAGUGUCGCGACAAACACAUCAGAGGCGACGAUUGCAGGGACAAGUGUGGAUCGAAGGCCAUGAAAGACUACUCGGCAUUGCCUUGCUCCGUGGCUGGCCCCCCUGCCUUGGCUUCAGGUGUGGUUGCGGCUUAGGUAAUCACAUGGAAAAUAAAUAUAUAAAAAUAGCUGAUUGAUAAAGUAAAGUGUAUCAAAUAAAAUUGGUGGUAGUAAAGACUUCGUAGGAAUGAAUAUCUGUGGGAAAGAAGUAUUACAAAUAAGAUGGUUUGUAUGAUAAUUGUUUCAUUAGGGGUAUAAAAUGUAUGAAUUAU
rnacentral:misc_RNA from 1 species